CGCCGCUCUCCUCGCCGCCGAUUGGACGGAGCCUUGGCUCUCUGGCCACGCCCCCCGAGGGCCUUUGAAGGGAGAGGCGCGCGGGCACCGCCCUCCUCCGCCGCCAUUGGGCGCCAGAUUCCUCAACCUGCAAGCAGCCUUGAAACCCAGAAUGACAGGAACAUCUAGAUAACUACUUAUAAUAUCCAUCAAUUAGCUACAAGUGCAGCCCUUGUUCAUACAAUGUAAUAGUACUUUGUCUCUUAGUAUCUUUUGCAGUCUUUUCCUUUAAAUGGCAAUGAUUCUCUCCAACACUUUUUUAAAAGUACAUUUGUUUUAUAACCAUCAAAUGGUGUCUGCCCUAUAGGGAUAUGCCCACCUUGUUGCCUUUGAGACAUAUUGUUUCAAUGCUUUUGAUAAAAUUAAGGGACUCUGAUAUUUAUAGAACAAUUAUUGAGAUUACAUAUGAUCCAAUAAACAAUCUAAUGGCCGUUCCAAUACUAAGUGUCUGCUUACACUUUGCAUCCUAUAAUACUGUCAGUUGUGGAGGAGGAUGAGGGUAAUUUACCUUUAAACCAUGUAAACUCGUAAUAAAAUAUUUUAAUUAAAAAAAUCCAAAAGUAGCACCACCUGUACUAUUUCACACUACAUUGUUGCAGGACAUAGAAAAAUAAAAGGAAGCUGUUCAAAUUU